UAGUAGCGUGUACAUAAUUUGUUUUAUA
rnacentral:sRNA from 1 species